GUCUCUCCUGCCUUCGGGGUUCUAGAAUACACUAACAUUUGGCGACCCUGGGUGGGCUCUGAAGCGGGAUAGAGCUGGAAGAGAGGGGAAGGCUGCAAGCUAACUAGCAUCACACUAGGCUGCAGAAAAUGAGUUUUUGGCUGGGCCUAAACGAAAGGCUUUGCAUUUGAACUCCUAUGACUGGUUGCGGACUUGAAGGGAACGCCUUCCUGACAUCCAGGAAAAAGAAAGGAUCAUGCCAGCCCACAUCAAACACCUGAUCAAGAACUUGUGAACCUCACUGCUGCGGACACCUGUGUGAUAUUCCACUCUGACUGGAACCCUCAAAAUGACCUGCAGGUGUAACAUCUACCAAUGGUUGUACAUUACAGAGACCUCCUCCACCUCUUUGCUGCAUUACUAGUCAAUCCUUCUGAUCAGGUUCUUUCCUAAAUAGUGAAAGGAUCAUGCCAGCCCACAUCAAACACCUGAUCAAGAGCUUGUGAACCUCACUGCUGCGGACACCUGUGUGAUAUUCCACUCUGACUGGAACCCUCAAAAUGACCUGCAGGCUCAAGCUCGGUGUCAUCGUUUUGGCCAGUCUAAGGCGGUGAAGGUGUACUGUCUGAUCACUAGAAACUAUGAGAGGGAAAUGCUGGAUAAAGCUAGUCUGAAGCUCGGGCUGGACCGUACCAUACUGCAGAGCAUGAGUGGCAACAACAACGGGCCGGUCCAGCAGUUCUCCAAGAAGGAGAUCGAGGACCUGCUGAGGAAAGGAGCCUACGCCGCCAUCAUGGACGAGAACGUCAAGGCAAUCGCUUCUGCUAGGAGGACAUCGACCAGAUCCUGCAGCGAAGAGCCACCAUCAUCACCAUCACUGUGAAGGUCUGAAUGACCUCUCCUCGACUGGGUAUCCUUUCCCUCCCCCGGGGUACAACCCUGGCAAUCCGGCUGGCCCACCUCAACCACCUCCACCGCCACUACAAGCCCUAGCCAUGCAGUCCGUCAACUCCAAGCUCGCCACCCCCAUCAGCCCCAAGUAGAGGGGGACAACAGCGGGAUAAACAAACCCGAUGCCCAAGCAGGUGUUUGGGGGACACAUCUCAGAUAAUGCCUUUCUCAACGGACUCACAGACACAGCGCAAGCUACGCAGAAUGCUGGCCGCUCACAAUACCGAGGGAGAGGCAGAAGAGGUUUUCCGAGGCAGAAGACGAGAAGCAAGACCUUCAUUUGACGAAAGAUGUUUCAAGUGUGGCAGUGUUGAACAUUGGAUUAUGGGACUGCUCACAGAACACUGUCAGUGGAGGCAGAGGGGGACAGCAAGGACGGGGCCACCAUUCACAAAGACUGACCUACACCAGAUGGGGAGGAGGGGGCCCGAUCGAGCGAGACGGAAAUUCAGCCAGCUGCACCAGGGAAGUGACACACACACACACAUCAUGCUAUUGAGUAAUUGGAAAAUGUAGAAGACAUGUCUGUGGUUAAAGAGGGUAUAUAUAUAUUUGAAAUAUGACAGUGAAACAGCAUUUGAGAAAUGUCCCACACUGACUUUGGCUGUCAUGGGCGUUGAUGUUACAUUUUUUUGGUUGAUUCUGGGGCUACACAUUCUGUGGUAAAAAGGGCAGAUUUGCCUGAUUGCAAAUUUAGUGGUAGAUUUAUUCACUCAAUAGGAGCGGCUGGGGUAACUGUAAAGGAGAAGUUUUUGUAUCACUUCAGGGUAAAGAUAACGGUGAUGAUAGUCAUCCAUUUGCCACAUCAGUCAAAAACAGUUUCCUUUUAUCAUCUGUCUGCCCAAUAAAUUUACUGGGCAGAGAUCUGAUUCUCCAGUUCGGCUUGGACCUCAUUUUUCCACAAAUGAGGGUCUUAAAAGUCCUGCAGCCAUCUCCUACGAUGGUUAAAAAACUGGCAUUUGAUGAUAAAGAACUGGUGAAUGUGUAUCAAAUGGCUGCUGACAUAUCCUGAUUCUCAGGCGUUGUUGCGUUUGACUGAUCAACGUGUUUUUCCACCUGCUGUGUUCAUGGAGGCUUUUCAUUUGCAUUGUACUGCUAACGUUGUUGAUGAUCCGUGUAAAUACUAUGAUGAGAGUUUUCUGUUAGAAUGUGUGAAUGAUGAGCUCAUGCUUAAAACUAUUGGAGUU